rnacentral:misc_RNA from 1 species
AAGGAUCAUUAAAGGAACUUCGUUCUUUAGCGGAGUAAUUCUUAACCCGUGUUUACUUUAUCUUUGUUGCUUUGGCGGGCCGCCUUCGGGCGUCGGCUCCGGCUGGCAGCGCCCGCCAGAGGAUUCAACUCUUUUAUUUAGUGAUGUCUGAGUACUAUAUAAUAGUUAAAACUUUCAACAACGGAUCUCUUGGUUCUGGCAUCGAUGAAGAACGCAGCGAAAUGCGAUAAGUAAUGUGAAUUGCAGAAUUCAGUGAAUCAUCGAAUCUUUGAACGCACAUUGCGCCCCUUGGUAUUCCGAGGGGCAUGCCUGUUCGAGCGUCAUUAUAACCACUCAAGCCUAGCUUGGUAUUGGGGUUCGCGGUCUCGCGGCUCCUAAAAUCAGUGGCGGGUGCCGUCUGGCUCUAAGCGUAGUAAUUUUCUCGCUAUGGAGUCCGGGUGGUUGCUUGCUAAAAACCCUAACUUCUCACGGUUGACCUCGGAUCAGGUAGGGAUACCCGCUGAACUUAA